rnacentral:misc_RNA from 1 species
GAUGAAGAACGUAGCGAAAUGCGAUAAGUAAUGUGAAUUGCAGAAUUCAGUGAAUCAUCGAGUCUUUGAACGCACAUUGCGCCCCCUGGUAUUCCGGGGGGCAUGCCUGUCCGAGCGUCAUUGCCGCCCUCAAGCACGGCUUGUGUGUUGGGCCCCCGCCCCCCGGCUUCGGGGGGCGGGCCCGAAAGGCAGCGGCGGCACCGCGUCCGGUCCUCUAGCGUAUGGGGCUUCGUCACCCGCUCUGUAGGCCCGGCCGGCGCCCGCCGGCGACCCCAAUCAAUCUUUCCAGGUUGACCUCGGAUCAGGUAGGGAUACCCGCUGAACUCAAGCAUAUCAAUAAGCGGAGGA